CCUGCUUGUAGGGGCAUUGCAGGUGUGGCUGCUAUGUCAUGUGUGUGUCAGUAGUUGACAGAGAGGAGAGAGUUGAUGUCUACACUCAGUGUUCUGACCUAUGAACAUCUGAAUGAUUAGUAACCUAAAAUU